UGAAAUGGCCAAGAAAGGGCAAGAGAUGAACCGUAGAUGGAAGUCGGCGUAGCCCUGGUCCCUAGAGGUCCUUAGAGAUGGCAAGAAUGACAUGAGAGAAGCCAUUGUAGUCCUAAAAGAUGGUGAGAGGUCACCGGAGAUGGCCAUAGAUGGGGUGGUUGGCAUUUGGAGAUUAAGGUUUAUUGUGAGAGUGUUUGAGAGCAGAGAGGAUUUUAG
rnacentral:lncRNA from 1 species